CGCCACUUCCGUCGCCGACGCCAUUUGGACGCCAUGUUGCCCGAGAUUUGAGCGCUUGUACGCCUUGGCUUCUAAAUUUCAAGAUGAAUAUUGACGGCAGAAGACGGCGUUGUGCAUAUGGGGGGCACGCACUGAUUUCAAGAGAGCCAGCGCCAUUCCGGAUCUGAAAAUGCUCUGCAUGUCAGCAUUGUCUGCGCCGCUUCGUCUGCGGUGCCGACCAGCGCCGCUUCGUCUGCGGCCCCCGCCAGCGCCGCUUCGUCUGCGGUCCCCGCCAGCGCCGCUUCGUCUGCGGUGCCGACCAGCGCCGCUUCGUCUGCGGUCCCCGCCAGCGCCGCUUCGUCUGCGGUGCCGACCAGCGCCCUUCUGCAUGGUACCUCGCCUGAUGUAGCCACGCAGGGCGGAGAGUGGAGUCACCCGGAGACCUUGGCCUACUCCUGGUCCUCUACGCCCGCCAGCGCCUCUUCGUCUGCGGCCCCCGCCAGCGCCGCUUCGUCUGCGGUCCCCGCCAGCGCCGCUUUGUCUGCGGUGCCGACCAGCGCCCUUCUGCAUGGCACCUCGCCUGAUGCAGCCACGCAGGGCGGAGAGUGGAGGUGAGCUAUUACUGAUUAGUUUUGUCCAGGUAAAUUUAGAGUAAUCAUACACUCACUUUCUGUCUUUUUGUUAUUUUUGUCAUUGUGUGUCAGACAACUUCACCGAUAACACUGAUACAAUUAUUUUUAGGGAACCUGCUUCUUGUGUUCUCAACUUGUUUCUUUGUUGAAUCAUUUCUCCAUCAUUAUCU
rnacentral:misc_RNA from 1 species